rnacentral:lncRNA from 1 species
GUCCUUCAGUACUUGAGGUAUGUGUUGACUGUAUUAAUGCUAUUAUGUUUUUAGUGGCCAAUAUUUCUGACGAGUGUAUAAACCCACAGUUGACCAUGGUCCAGAUAUGAGUUUAAUUGGUGUCUAAGAUAAUUAGUAGCAUGAUUUUAUAAAGCUCCAGUUCCAUGGUUCUGAGCACUUGUGUUUAAUUGGAAUCACUUGUUAUUAUAGAACUAUGUUGUUGACUAUAGUUCCAUGUAGCUUGAGUAUUUAUCUGUACUUGAAGUCUACAAGUGUUUUCUUAAGUAUACCAGAACCACCUGACCGAGAAUAAUUAAUAUCAUAACUAUUAAGUAAACUGAAUUGAGCAUUUCUUAGAUUUUUUUGGUUUAGAGCUUUUAUUGUCUCUUUGGUAAUAUGUUGGAGUUUACUUUUCCUGUGGCAUACGUUUAUUUUGGAAGUUAUUUGCAUGUAUACUGGUAGGCGGUUGUCUACGUGCCCCCUUAUAGCUGCUUAUUAUCUAUAAGUGGUGAAUAUUAUUUUCCUGAGUUUAAUUGUAUGUAUCAAGCCGCUUGGUGGAAAGACUUCCUAUUGUAUCUUGACAUGUGAAUUGAAUGUUGUGGUUAUAUUAACAUCGCUCUUUGUUUUGUUGUCUACUUCUUUAUUUCCCUUUGGAUGGGCGCUCAUGUCGGCGUGGGGCACAGCGGCCUCCGAGGGAGCCGAGCCGGCGGAUGUGGAGGCUGCCGAGCGGCGGUGCUCGCGUGAAGGAGGAAUAUGAUGAUGCGUGGAGUGGCGUGGGGUACCAACCAUCUCCAUCGAGUGGCGGUGCUCGCGUGAAGGAUGAGUUCGUGUUAGUCCCCCUAUCCCGAUCUGGAUUUUAUGGAUCUUUCAAAAAAAGUUCUUGUUAGGGAUUUGAGUUUUUAACAUUUAACAUGCUCUCAUGUAAGGUAGUAGCACUCUCUCGGCUGUGGCUGCACGUUCAACUGGCCAGUCAAGGAGCUCCAGCAAGCAGGUCCGCCUACUCUCCUUUCCCCUGAGCUCUUGCAACUACGCAAAUCAUCUUCCUGGUAUUUUCUCACUUUUGAUUCACAGACUAUGUACUGUAGUUAGUUCUGGUGAUUAUCAAAUGAUCUAAGACCACUGUACGUGCAUAUCUCAGACUUGGGAAGAAUGCACAUAGCCUUGCUGAGAACAAUUGUUUCGAUAAUUAUCUUGUUUGUGCGCUUGUUUUGAUAAAACACAUGGGUUAUAGAGGAAUUGAAACAUGUUACAUUGAAAUCAGAGAGCAUGUCGUUGUUGCUUAAUUCCGCUAAUCGUGGCUGUCACUGUAUACCUUGAGAUUCAGGUAGAAGCAAUAGAAUCCAAGAAAAAAAAAAUACCUACCUGCAUGUGUUCCUUAGAGAGUUUGUCUUCUUCAUACCUCACCAUUCUUGAUAUAUAUGGUCAUCUCUGUUCUGGAUAUCACACUCGACGGCCUCUCUUCAUGGCACAAAACGGAAACUACGCCAUGAAUGUAUUUAUUCAGUGAAAUAGCUGAUUCCAAUCAUUCAUCAACUAGCUUUGUUUUAAUCACAACAAUAAGUCAUGAUAUCUUGAAAUUGCCUAAUUGGUGAUUAUACAUUUUAUAUGAUGUUUUUCACCUGCAAGCUCUGCACUUCUUUCCUUUCAACUUCAUCUCUCUUGCUUUAUUUCAUGAAUAUAUUCAUCUUCUCAUUCCAUCAUUCAGUCUGUUUGCAACAAAAUCCUGAUUCAUAGUCUGUUUUUUUAAAUGCUUGGCACAUCCUAAACAAAAUCCUGAUUAAACGAUAGGCUUGGCAUAUCUUUUUUAUCACUAUGGUUGCUUUUAUCCGCAACUGAUUUCUCUGAUUCCUUUCCCAUGCUGUAAUGCAAUUGUUUUGGGCAAUUCCCCAAGGCCUUAUGUUUUAUGUUAUUGGGAACUACAGGACACCCAGCGAGUGUUUAGGAUCCCACACACGGCAGUUCUUGGCAUGCUCCUGGCACACCUUGGACUAUCACCGGCUCAGUAUGAACGCGUUGUUCAUGAGGACGGCAAGACCCAUGUUGUAAAUUGUCUGUAAGCGACGUGUUGCCGUAUCUUCUAUGCCUAAAACAUCUGUAAGCGACGUGUUGUCGUAUCUUCUAUGCCUGAACGUCUACAUUAUGCCUAAAACUUAAAGUUGUCUAUGCAUAGUUGUAAAUUGUCUUUAAGCGACGUGUUGUCGUAUCUUCUAUGCCUAAGAUAUUUGAUGCUAACCUAUCGUGAAACAUGCUUUCUAUGUUCAUGCAUUGUUAAGUAGCUUCUUAUUAUGUG